CCUACGGGCGGCAGCAGUGAGGAAUAUUGGUCAAUGGACGAGAGUCUGAACCAGCCAAGUAGCGUGAAGGAUGACUGCCCUAUGGGUUGUAAACUUCUUUUAUAUGGGAAUAAAAUGUUCCACGUGUGGGAUUUUGUAUGUACCAUAUGAAUAAGGAUCGGCUAACUCCGUGCCAGCAGCCGCGGUAAUACGGAGGAUCCGAGCGUUAUCCGGAUUUAUUGGGUUUAAAGGGAGCGUAGGUGGAUUGUUAAGUCAGUUGUGAAAGUUUGCGGCUCAACCGUAAAAUUGCAGUUGAAACUGGCAGUCUUGAGUACAGUAGAGGUGGGCGGAAUUCGUGGUGUAGCGGUGAAAUGCUUAGAUACCACGAAGAACUCCGAUUGCGAAGGCAGUUCACUGGACUGCAACUGACACUGAGGCUCGAAAGUGUGGGUAUCAAACAGGAUUAGAUACCCUUGUAGUC
rnacentral:rRNA from 1 species